GCAUGAGUGAAGAAGGCCUUCGGGUUGUAAAGUACUUUCAGCGGGGAGGAAGGCGAUGUGGUUAAUAACCACGUUGAUUGACGUUACCCGCAGAAGAAGCACCGGCUAACUCCGUGCCAGCAGCCGCGGUAAUAACGGAGGGUGCAAAGCGUUAAUCGGAAUUACUGGGCGUAAAGCGCACGCAGGCGGUCUGUUAGUCAGAUGUGAAAUCCCCGGGCUUAACCUAGGGAACUGCAUUUGAAACUGGCAGGCUUGAGUCUCGUAGAGGGGGUAGAAUUCCAGGUGUAGCGGUGAAAUGCGUAGGAUCUGGAGGAAUACCGGUGGCGAAGGCGUCUAUCU
rnacentral:rRNA from 1 species